CACGAGAUUCCUGCAGAUGGAGCUCCUAACCUGUCGCCCUGCAGGCACUGUGUGUUUGGACAGCUGGAAGCAGAGCUCGGCCUGUGACCUGCCUGGUCCAGCAACUGGACCUUCUGGAGAGUCACAGUGAGACACACAGCCACAUCCUGUAAAUGAAGACCUCGUGGCUCAGAGAGGUCAGGUAACUUCCCCAAAGCCUGUCUGGCCUCCCAGCACCAUCCCUAGUCCCAGAGGGGAGGUGGAAUGAAGGCAGGGCUAAGGCCAGGCUGCAUGGAGGCAGAGGCACCUGCCGGCCUGCAGGACCAAAGGUUCUAUUGGAGGCAGUGCCUGGGCAGACAAAGGCCCUCAGAUUCACAAGCUGAAGCCCUAGCACCCAGGGCCCCAGUGUGCUACUGUGUUUGGAGACAGGUAAAGGUUGUCAAGGUAAGACAGGGUGGCCCUGAUCCAAUAUGACUGGCGUCCUUGUAAGAAGAGGAGAUUGGGACAGACACGCCCCGAGGGAUGGCCAUGUGAGGGCGCCUCAGGAAGACGGUGUGCAAGAGCGGGAAGCGGGGCCUCGGAAGAGCCAGCCCUUGGAUCUCGGGCUUCCAGGAGAAUCAGUUCCUGCAGUUGAAGCCACCAGGGUCUGUGCAACUUUGUCACAGCUGCCCGAGCUGACAAAUUCACCUGACUUAAGCCCCCCGCCCCACCCGACCACAGUGUCACCCAGAUGCUUGGCAGGUGCUGUGGCAGGGGCUGGGUCCCUGCUCGACCUUCGGGUGCCGGGGUGUCCCGUAUAAGAGCAGCACAGCCACCG
rnacentral:lncRNA from 1 species